rnacentral:rRNA from 1 species
GUUUCAGCCGCCGCGGUAAGACAGAGGCCCCGAGCGUUAAUCGGAAUUACUGGGCUUAAAGGGUGCGUAGGCGGACCAGAAAGUGCUUUGUGAAAGCCCCCGGCUCAACCGGGGAACAGCGGGGCAUACUGCUGGUCUUGAGGAAGGUAGGGGUUGCCAGAACUGUAGGUGGAGCGGUGAAAUGCGUAGAUAUCUACAGGAAUGCCGAUGGUGAAGACGGGCAACUGGGCCUUUCCUGACGCUGAGGCACGAAAGCGUGGGGAGCAAACAGGAUUAGAAACCCCAGUAGUCC